UGUGGUAGAAAUCUGAGCUAUCAGUCUGGCGCUGGGAGAUGUUUGGGGUUGUUUGUUGUUUUUACUUCCAGAUACCUGCUGGAGUCAGGCCAUCCCUUUAAACGAGAAGAGCGGAGCUAGAAAGCACCCCAGCUUAAGGCCUGGAGAGCAGAAUCCCUCUAAGCAGUAGCUUCUUCCUCUCCCUCACAUAAUUCCACAGCCUCUUACUGAAAGGGCAAGGAAAGAGAUGGCCCAGCCAGGCAGAGGGAACACCUGAAUGAGCUCAGGAGGAGAGGCUGCCAUGAUAGCUCCUCCCUCUACAAGCCUUCAGGACAAGCACAUCCUUCCUGACCCUUCCAUUCACUCCAGAUACGAGCACUAUCCCGGGACAGGACUUAGAUCCACGUUGUGAAAUUUUCAAAUGAUGGAGGGAGGAAAGGACAUAGCAGAAGAGAAGAGUCAUCACUCCUUCCGGCCCAAGGGGAGACGCAGCUGCAUAAAGAACCACCCCCCCACCGCCGCCUCCACUGUCUCACUGUCUGGCCCCUACUCUUCAGCCCUUCCUCAUCUAGAGCUGGAUCUGACACCAAAGGCGUCUUGUGAGCAGUGUCAUGACCGAGAAUGAAUACUCUGGAUGUGGUGGCUGGCUCCUUGUGAAGAAGAAUUCAAUCAGAUUCCAUUUGAUUAAUCUGCAUUGAGAUCCUAGUAUGUGUCCGACACUAUGCAGAAAUACUUCACUCCCUCUUCCAUGGCAGACCAUGAUGAACUAGGGUUUGCUGUUUUCACGGCUUCUGUCACUGUUGGAGCUGAGGCUGAGGCUGCAGCAGGAGCUCCUCUGGCCCCGAGGCAAGAGACAUGUUCUCUGCAUCCCCAGGGGACCCAAAGCAACUUCUGGUUUGGGUUAAAGAGGACUUGGGUGACCCCACCCUGCCAGUCAUCCACCCUCUGGCAGCCAGGGCGGCAGCAGGGGAGGGGGCAGAAGGCUGCCACAGUGCUUCUCUCCCCUGCCAUUUCCUCUGCAGCUCCCUCUCUGGCCCUGUUUUUCAGACCUCUAGUAAUAAAAACAAGCCAAUAAAAUGAACAUGAAAAUA
rnacentral:lncRNA from 1 species